rnacentral:lncRNA from 1 species
UGAAGGUUGUUGAACAACCGGAUUCGUUCGAAUGAACUUUGUAAACCACUCAUUCAUCAUUUGGAGAAAGGCUUGUUUUGUCUCUCCUUCGUGGCUACUAGCAAUAACUCUAGAAUCAGAUUGCACUGCCCCUUGAGUGGGAGUGGGUGCAUUACUUUCCACAUCGUCAGCUACGGCUCUAUCGGGAUCCAUUUACUAUACAAAAACACAUUUUAAUUUUAGGAAUCAUCAAACUAUCACAGUUUAUAUAUAUGACAUGUAUAGCUAGACUCACACGCGCUACGUUAGUCCUAGAAUCGACUAAAUCAUAGCUCUGAUACCAAUCAAAUGUAACACCC